UACGAAGGGGGCUAGCGUUGUUCGGAAUUACUGGGCGUAAAGGGCGCGUAGGCGGUGUGUCAAGUCAGGCGUGAAAGCCCCGGGCUCAACCUGGGAACCGCGCUUGAGACUGGCACGCUCGAGUUCGGGAGAGGAUGGUGGAAUUCCCAGUGUAGAGGUGAAAUUCGUAGAUAUUGGGAAGAACACCGAUGGCGAAGGCAGCCAUCUGGACCGACACUGACGCUAAGGCGCGAAAGCGUGGGGAGCAAACAGG
rnacentral:rRNA from 1 species